CCAUUGGACGGCCUGGCCCGCCCUUGCCCAAUGGGAAGGAGAGAUGCUGCAAGGAGGGGCGGAGCCCCGAGCUAGCCGCUCUGGGAGCGCGCAGGGAGAAGUCAAGAGGAGGGAGACAGGCGCGACAUUGCUACAGUGCCCCCUUCAGGUCUGGAGGAGCGAGUCGACGGUGCUGUCCCGGGGGUCCUUCCUGAAAGGCCCAGGACGCAGCGGCUGGAUGGGAGGUGCUGGAGACGCAACCCUGGAGCCGGCUGGUUCCAGCUGACACGCCCGCAGCCUACCAAAGCGGGGCGGAGGGGACAGAAACGCCAGGACGCCACCGGAAAGCUCCCUGCCCAGUGUAGAGCCCAGCAAGGGGCUUGAACUCACAAGCCUGAGGUUGAGACCUGAACUGAGAUCAAAAGUUAGAUGCUUACCCGACUGAGCCACCCAGGCGCCCCGAAAGAGAGUUAUUUUUUAAGAUGGAAAGAGUUUGUGCCUGUUGGUAACUUUCAGAGAAGGAAUCAUAAGAGCUGGAGGGAUUAAAACUAGAAGGAAAGGGGAAAGCAAGAUCUCAGGGAGAACAUAAAGGGGACGACCAAAGGCAGAGAUGUGUGAAUGGGAGGAGGUUCCUGGCUGCCUUGGAGGUGGUGGGGAAGGAGGAAAAGGGGAGUGAUGUGGAGGUGAAGAUGUCUGUAGGAAGGCAAACAGGGAUUCGGAGCUUUGAGGAGAGGAUGUGGAAAAGCCGGACUGAGAAAUGAUGGAAAGAAGCAGACCGGAAACGCAGAUAGCAUGUCAAACAGAGCCAAAGGCCCAGUUGAAGUUGGAGAUCCUACUCCUGGAAGAGCCCUGAUCUGUGUGUUUUGGGGUCCAUGUCCAGCACCAUCCCGAACCCUGGGUCUUGCAGUGCGAAAGACAGGUAGUAGGGAUUUGUAGGGUGGAUGCGGCAGAAGGACAAGGGAACAGAAAUGUUGAAGGUACUGGCAUGGGAAGGGAUACAUCAGCGUGGGAAGGGUUACAUCACAGGAGCUGGGCUAAGUAGGUGGGUCUGGAAUUGGGUCAAAAGAGAGAGGUGAAGGGAGCAGGUGUCGAGGGCGUCUGAGGCUUAUAAACCAGGAAAGAAGAGCUGAUUUGAGAGAAGCGGUAGCUCCUGGGGAGGCUGACUUUGUCUGCUCGUUGUCAACGUCGUCUAUGAGUCAGGCAGAGGAUAGGGUGAAGAAGAGGACUGGGAGCCAGGGGCCCAGGUACUGAGAAUGGGGUGGAGGAGCCACGCAGGACAGCAGUGAGGGGACGGAGGGCAGAGUGUGGACCAAAGACCCUCUGGGAGGAAGGGUUUUUGCCUGUAGGACAUGAGACAGUGCCAUCUUCGCCUUCUGUCCUAGUGAGGAACAUUCCUAUGUCACGUGCCUCUCCGGGGCAAGAGCAAGGCUGACCUCGACCCUGUAUCCUAGAGACCAUGGCUUCACGAGCAGGGAUUAUCGUGGUGAGGGGGUUCCUGCACCCUUCUGCUCAGCCCAGCUCUGGUGCCUAAAGACAGACAGCCCAGGAUGAGCAAGAGGCGUUCGAACGAUCCCGAGAGGGUGGUUCUCAAACCCUUAGCACAAUUCUGAACAUCGGAGAAGCUCACAAAAACCGAAGUAUCUUAGUAACUGCGUUGGUAGAAGACGACCCGACCUAUUGGAUGGUGGAGUCUCUGUCCCUCCUGGUGUGUUUGAAGACAGGCUGGAGCUCAGGGUACCACAUGGCUGUCCUCCCUUUGUGGACUCCAGCAAGCUGUGACGUCCCCAAAACACGUGGCCGACAAGGGGUCAUGGAUCUGUGCAACCCUCCCUUCUAGGUGACAAAGACACUGAGUCUGAGGGGCGCCUGGCCGGCUUAGUCCAUCGAGCUUGCGACUCUAGAUCUAGGGUUUGGGUGCAGAGAGGACUUAAAAAAUAAAAUCUUUUAAAAGAAAAAUCGGAGAAUAAAUUAUACCCUCCAGAUUGGCACAGAACUUUGCUCCUCAUUGGCCGUCAAGUGGCAGGCCAGCGGAUGUGUUAAUCACAACAGGAAGUUGAUAUGAUUACUUUUGGUUUUUAGAAAUUGCAACUGGUGAAGUAGGGGAGCUGGGUUGGUGGGGCCAAGCUCGGUGCAAGGUCAAAACCAAAAGCCUUUAUCCUUUGGCCUGCUUCUGGUUGCUUCCCCAGUUGCUCUCCUGUCCUGGGAGGGGGUCCCCCCCAUCCCCCAUCGAUCCCGUUGGCAGCGGAGCUUGGCCCCCUGGCAGCCCGAGAUGGUCCCCAUCUCCCUUCAUGUCACCCCUCCUGCAGACUCUCAAGCCUUUCUUGACUACAUUACUCACCAGCAGUGACUACAUUACUUACUAUAUUACUCACCUUGAGGCCACUGGCCACCCCAUCGUCCUGAAAACAGGGCCCUGGCUUGUCUGACCUCAUUCUCCCUUGUCCUCCCUCUCCCCAUGUGGCUUUACUGCUCUGGCUCUGUUCUGGCCCCAAGGGCUCCCCAGCUCCUCCAGCAGCGGUCCUGAGGAGCUAGACUUCAAGCUCACCUCCCGACCCCCAGUUCAUCCCUGGGCCAUGCUGUGCCACUCCCAGAUUUCUGUUGAGUGUCACCUUCCUCCCUAAGCCUGAUUCCUGUGACUAAAUGCCUGCCAGGCCCUGGGCUAACCCCAGUUCCAUCUGUGGAGAUGAGCCUAACUUCUCGGCAAACCGAAGCAAUGGAUAGGCCAUAUGUGUGAUACCUUCUUUUUGUUUAUUUUACCGUCGCUAUUGGCAAAUUAAGCCACUCCUGUCCUGUUACCUGGAGUUGAGGACCUGUGCUUUACAGAUGAGUCCGUCAUUGAUCUGGACAAAGUACUUACAAGCUAACGGGGUCAGGGCAGAAAUAGUAAGGCAAAUUAAGGAGUUCCCAUAAUCGAAGAGAGGAAGAGUGUCAUGGGGAAGGAGAGAGCAGUCUGGCCUAUGGUGCAUGUGAGGGCUUUCCCUUCCCUUGAUCUUUCCCCAAAGGAAAAGUGUUGAUCAUCUCAGUAACAGGCUACGGUGUGGUUGGCUUGCCAGUGACUUGGGGUCGCCUUGGUUUUCAGGCAGUAUUCACGGGACCUGCAGUGUGCCAGGACUCAAGCAGCCUUGUUCACUCGUACCUUCUUGGGGGACGGGAAGUCUCAGCAACACAUCUGGGCGAGAAACCGAUCAGGGGAGAGGAUGCUGCUGAGAAACGGAGAAGUGGGUUAGGCUGGGAGCCGGGGACAGAACCAGGAAGGAAGGAGCCCCGAGGGCGGCCGCGUCCCUCAGUGUCCAGUGGGGGGCAGUGGUGUUCAGACAGUCACGGGAGACGCCUCUGCAGGAAGGGCCCUCCCACCCUCGGGGAGCCAGCCGGACUCCCAGCAUUGCGGGGGAGUGGCGGGUGCCUCUGGGUGCCUGUUGCUCAAUCGACACUUCCUUUGGGGAGACAACCCAGGCACGGAAGUGCUCGCCAGGAACUUCCAACCCCAGCUGAAUCUGUUAAGGACAAGGAGCAACUCUCCAGUGCUGCAGUGAGCCCAGAGCUGAGCUCCACGCCCAACGGUGGGGCUUGAACUUGCUACCCUGAGAUCAAGAGCAGCCAGCCAAGCAGAAUGAAAACAUCUCACAAACAACAGGGUAGAAAAGCCUUCCCCCCAACCCUGGGUGUUGAAAGGCAAUGACUGACUGAGCCCUGGGGUUGGGGAAGACCACCCUCAAUGUUAAAUUCUCUGGGGGAACCUGGGUCAGGCGGGGUCAGACCUGCCCAGGCCCUCUGUUGGCUGCUCUAGAGGUGGAGGCCAAAGGCGGGUCCUCAAGAUCUCCAGGAUCCUGGCUGUUCAGUUGCAUCUGAAAUUGACUGGAAUGAAAUGCAAACCCAAGUAGAUGGGAAGAAAAGGGAGAUUCACUUGAAACCCCGAAGUCCCAGAUGUGGGGGACAAUGGAGGUUGUUGUUGCAAAUUCGGGAGCCUGGAACAGAUGAGAGGCAGUCCUUCCGUCCCGUCAGUCCACACUCUUGAGCGCCUACGGCUACUUACUGCUGUUUUGUGAGGAAUGAGCCCGGAAACAGCAGCAUCUGGACUCAGGGCUGGCUCUAAUGAGAGAGGAUCUUCGCAUGGGGCUGCAGGAUGCAGGGCACUGAUAACCGAAGCCUUUACAACAGUGAGGGCGACGAAAGAGACACCCCCCCCCCCCCAAGGGCAGAGCUCCAGAGGGACAGACGGAGAAGAUAAGCUCAGGCCCAGGAGAAGUUGUGCCUGUCCUGUUCCCUUCCUGGUGCAGAUCUGGGAGCCGUGUCCCUCAGCUCCCUGCUCUCACUCGGGCACACUCUCCCCCGUUCCCAACCCACCCAGCCUUCCAAUCCCCGCCAAAGAGGAAAGGGAUGAAGUGUGCAAAGGAUGCAGGGGUUGGGCAGCAGGUACUGACCUUCAUGACUAGCGUGAUGAUCUCUGGAGAAACUACCACCCACCACAGGCAGCAGGGACUGUGGAUGAGAGAGGAACACACAGAAGAAAGUUCUCCAGGACCAAGGCUGAGCCGUCCCCAUCAGGGCCCGCCAUCCUGUCCUAUCUUGCCUGGCGCAUGUGUCUGGUGUGACCAGUUCCUCCGUACCCCCCUCCUACCCCCCAGGCCCUGCUCACCCAUGUCCUGGCCAAGCCUGGGACCAGACAGCUUAGGGCUUCGAAUCUGCGGGGUCCUUUGUAGCGGGAUUUCCCCAACUCUGGCCCCUUCUCCAGAGGAGCUCCAGCAGGGUCCACAGCAGAGGGCUUGAGUGAAGGGUUCUGUCUCCGGGCAGAGCUGCCUCAUCAUUUCCCCCAGAGAAGUUUGCUCUUGGGGUGGUUUCCAGGCCCCUGUCCCUCCGGACCAGAUGGCUCAUAUUAGAUCUCAGUGUGCAACUCGCUGCCCUUUGUGGGAGCAUGUUCUGGAUUUGUCCCAGCCUGAGCAGCUGAUUCACCAGGACCUUCUGGGAAGGCCUCCCCGUUUGAUUACACCUCAGCUCGUCAGCAUAGAAGCUGUGCGUCCCAUUUCCAGCUUUUGUGGGGAGCACAUUGCUUCUAGGCCCAGACGCAGAAGUGUGUACCCCGGGGACCAAAGUCAGACCUUGGGCUGGGGCUACGGGAGCCCUGCGUUAGGUCUGCAGACCUGGUACUGCUUUCUGAGGGGCUGGUUGCUCAGAGUCUGGCAGAGGCCAGACCGUUUGAGGUUUUGUUUUCUUUAUAAUUUGUCUGUGUAUUUUGGAAAGUGAGAACAUGAAAGCAUGAGUGGGAGGGGCAGAGGGAGAGGGAGAGAGAAUUCCAAGCAGAUUCCGCACUGAGCAUGGAGUCCCAUGCGGGGUUCAGUCUCACAACCCCGAGAUCGUGACCUGAGCCGAAACCAAGAGUCUGACGCUUAGCCGACUGGGCCACCCGGGCGCCCCAGAGGGUGGACUGUUCUGUGGCUGUUUUGUGUCUUGGGAAAAGCAGAGGAGGGAGUUCCUGCCAGGGUAGAGCUCGAAAGCCUCGGGUCAGCGGAGCAGCCUUCUGCGGCCUCUCUCCUCCCCGGUGUCUGAUGCUUACUCACCCUGCUGAGCACAUACAGGGUGCUAGACACAGUGCCUUCGAGGGACCCCCACCCUUUGGACCUGGGAGCAAGACGGCCCCUGCACCCUUUGGGGAAAUCACUCCGCCCCCACAGGCAUCUGGUUUCUCCUGCGCAGAGUGAGAACAGGCUACCUUCCUUCCUGCUUUGUGAGGACCCGGCUGGCUAACAGAUGCCAAGUGCCCCGCCCCGGGGUUAGGAGCAGUGAGGAUGGUGUACAGCGGAGAGGUUUAGGAGGAUGGGUGGGAGGAAGGGCUUGAGAGGCGUCCUGGAUCCUGGGGCUGGAUGUGUGUGGCCAGGAGCUCUGGCUCUGAGUCUGGGGUCCCCUUCUGUGCCUAUUUAACCUUAAACGGUUACAGCCUCAGCUGGUUCCUUUGUCAAAUGGAGAUUGUGUUCUCCCUUCCAGCCUCAGUGGGAGAGAGCAAGAGAAAGCAACACUAUCCACUGUGUUCCAGAUGCAGUCGCAGGCCGACAAUAGGAAAGAAUGGAUGUAAAAAACCAUCACCUUGUCACCUGCGCAGUGCAACCCCCAGUUAAUUGUGACUUUCGGCUCUGCCGGCUCUGCCGAGCUCCUGGCCACACCACCCCCGCUCCCAGCAGGGGUGAUGGAGGUAGUCUGCUCAGGUUUCAGACCCUCAGUACUCUGGGGAUUCACUGCAUUUCCCUGCUGUUUAGGCGGGUUACUAAAGCCUCUUGCCCCCUUGGGAGGCUGUCAAUUGUCUCAGUGGAGGGUCUGGGACCCCCAAGGAGCAGGGAGAGCCUUGUGGAGCCUCGUGGGGGAGGGGACUUGGGAACGGGGUGCUCACAGAGGUUGAGGGAACACUCCCCAGAGCAGCCCCUUGGGGUGGCAGGGCCCCCUUGCCCUGUACACAGCCGGCUUGUGUAGGGGGAGGGGGGAGAGGUGGGGGGUGGUGGGAAGGCCCAAGCGUCAGCCCGCUGCUUGCUCCCCCUCACGGGCUGCCUUAGCACGUCCCAGAGAAGCUUCUUUGCACCGUCUGGAGCUGCCGCUGGGUUCCAGACCAGCCGGCCUGGCAACAAUGUGGGGGAGGAGGAAGUCUGCUGCAGAGCCCCGUUCGGGGAGCCGGGCCAACGCUAAUGGGAUCACCGGCCUCGGCCCCGAGGUCCUGGCGAGGUCGGCCAGGACAUUGUGAAAUGACAUUUCGAAGACCCCACCGCAGAGAGUCAGAGAGCGUGUGGGUGGACUUGGCAGUGAGUGAGGACCCUUCGGGAAGUCGUCGGUUGCCCUGGCACUUGGUUAGACUCUCUGCAGAACAGAAGCUCGGGCCAGGCCAGCCCUGGGCAGCUGUGGACAGGAUGAACGGUCCCUGGGCAGGACGGUGGGGGUGGUGCAGGCUUGGACCCACUGCUGGGGCCAGAUUAAUAUGAGCUCCAUAGGGGAGAAAAAAGAGGGGCGCCUGGGGGCUCAGUUGGUGAAGCGUCUGCCUCCAGCUCAGGUCAUGAUCUCGGGGUCUGGGGAUCGAGUCCCACAUCGGGCUAUCUGCUCAGUGGGGAGACUGCUUCUCCCUCUCCUGCUGCUCCCCCGCUUGUGCUCCUCCUUCUCAAAAGAAUAAAAUCCUAAAAAAAAAAAAUUAAAAAUUUGCAAAGUACUUUCUAGGUGGGAGGAAUUGCUGCCAGACACCAGAUCGAAGGCCCAGAGGGUAAGACUCUGGCCCCGCAAGCUAGCACUUCCCCUGUACUGAGAGGGGAUCAUGUGGGGAACGAGCAUACCCUUUCUCCUUGGUGGCCUGGGUCCCAGGGAAAAGGAGCUUGCAAAGGUCAGGAGGGUUCCCCAGUGGUCUUAGGACAGCUCCAAGACUCCCCAGUGCAGGAUGGGGGGGGCAUGGGCGGGGGCCUUGUUUUCCGCAGGAUUUGUGUUUAUAACCCGAUAGUUUCUUUACCUUUUAUCUAACAAGAGUGAGUAAUCUAUUGGGGAGAUUUAACGAAAACCAGACAUUACCUCACUGGUGUCUUAUCCAAGGCCGCUCCUGUGACUUGGGGUCUUUUCCCGUGUUAAGCAGGAUGGGGAGAACUCCAUAGACUUCCGCCGAGUCAAGGGAAUCGCAGAACACACAUGUUUGAGAAGCCCUGUUCUAGUAUUUGUACUCAAGCCCUUCUCUCCACCGCCCCCCCUCCCUGUAAACAUCUGUUUUUUUCAUUCUGGAAACAUGGCAGAGGGAUUCAGCCCAGCCUACCCCACGUAGUGAGCAGUCUCAGGGGCUUCUCUGGCUCCCCUCUUCCUGGAGGGGUAUGAAGAGUUUCCUGUGUGAGCUCACAACGGCCUCCUCCUCAGGCGUGGGAAAAUAAUAGUAGCAGGCAGACCCCAUUCCGAGGUCGAUGGCUCUCUCUCUCUCUCUUUUUAAAGGUUUUUAUUUGAGAGCGAGCAUGAGCAGGGGGAGCGGCAGGAGAGGGAGAAGCCUGCCGAACAGGGAGCCCGAUGCGGGAUUCGAUCCCAGGACCCCGAGAUCAUGACCUGAGUCGAAGGCAGACGCUUCAUUGACUGAGCCCCCCCAGGCGCCCCUGAGAGUUACUUUCUAACAGAAGUGUCAGACAAAUAGCGACUCAAGUGGCCCACGUGUCCCUUCAGGUGUAGAAAGGCUGCUGCUUCUCGGAAAAGGAGAGUCUGAUGGGUCCAAGACAGAAUUCCCCCCAGGGUUGUCCUCACAUAGAAGGACAGCUCUCGUCACUGCAGGCUGGGCAAUGGGACAUCUGUGUCUGGCAGCAAAAAAUUUAAAGCCCAGUAAAAAAGGUCCACAUAUCCACAAUCGCUGUGUAGUAGGUAAUACGAAGAGUAAGUGUUAACAGGUGUCAUUGUGGUUUGAUCACUACCAACCAUCUGCUGCUCUGCUGAUGGCACUGACAUAAGUGGGAGGGACAGGACCUACAGUCUGGGACUGACCUGAAAAUACUUUAGUGGUGGGGCGCCUGGCCAGCUCAGUCAGAGCAGCGGAGAACUCUUCAUCUCGGGGUCGUGAGUUUGAGCCCCAAGUUGGGUGUGGAGAUGACUUAAAGAUAAAAUUUUUUAAAAAGAUUUAAUUUAUUUACUUAUUUUACAAAAAGAGACACAGUGAGAAAGGGAACACAAGCAGGGGGAGUGGGGGAGGGAGAAGCAGGCUUCCCGCCAAGCAGGGAGCUGGAUUCAGGGCUUGAUCCCGGGACCCUGGGAUCAUGACCUGAGUGGAAGGCAGAGAGUUAACCGACUGAGGCACCCCGGCGCCCCUUGAGAUAAAAUCUUUAAGAAAAUAAUAAAUAUGUUAGCAGAAACGUAAGAAAAAGAAAAGAGGUAAACACCUGAGACAAAACCUUUUAACACUUGAAUCUGGGUGAUGGAUAAUAUGGUUUCAUUUUACAGUUUUCUCAACUUGUGUGGUAGAUUGAACAUGUUCAUAAUUAGAAGAAAAAUUAAAGACACUGUGACUAGUGUUAAAAGACAAACCACAGACGGGAGAAGAUAUUUAGAACACAUGUAACUGACAAGGGAUUUCUACCCGAAAUGUAUAAACAACUCCCACAAAAUAGUUAAAAAAGAAAAAAAAAACAAACCUUCCAACACAUAGGAAAAAGACAUAGAUUAUAAAAAGCAAUUUCAGGGGCCCCUUGGUGGCUCAGUUGGUUAAGCAUCUGACUCUUGAUUUUGGCUUGGGUCCUGGUUUGAAAGUCGUGAGACUGAGCCCUCCCUUGGGCUCCUUGCUAUGCAUGAAGCCUGCUUAAGAUUCUCCCUCUCCCACUGCCCUCCCCCACCUCUCUCUUUCCAAAAAAAAAAAAAAAAAAAAAAAAAAGUAAACAAAUAAAAUUUUAAAAUAAGUAGACAAACCAGUUUCAUUCCCCAAAGGAGAAACUUGAAUGGCCAAUGUCUCGCCUCCUAGGUAAUCCGGAAAAUACCAAGUAGAGAAUAAGACAGUAAUGGCCAUAGAUGGGCAGGCAUUUGAAAGUCUGGCAAUAUGAAGUAUGGGGGAGAUGUAGAGUUUAAAACAUAUACUUAGGAAGCGACUUGGCAAUGUCUGUUAGAAACCUGUAUGUCUUACAACCUAGGAGUCUACUUCUCAGUGUACAACCCUCAAAAAAAUCUUGGGUGGGGUCCCUGGAGGGCUCAGUAGGAAGUGUGGGCAGCUCGUGAUCUCAGGGUUGUGAGUUUGAGCCCCACGUUGGGUAUAGAGAUUACUAAGAAUAAAGAAAUAAAAAAGUCUCGGGCUGGUACCCUAUACAGAUUUGAUCACACAGUAGAUGCCCAUUACUGUGUUGUUUGGAAUAGCUGAAACCCCCCAAAAUGGGGAAAUAAUUAAUGACAUAGUCAUAUAUGGACAUACUACAUAGACAUCAAGAUAAAUACAAUACAUACUAAUAUAUAUGUAUAAUUAUGGUUGAAUUUCCCAAACAUAAUAUGAAUAUUAAAUGAAAUAAAAAAAAUUAUGAAGGGAUAUGUAUGUUAUUAUACCAUGUGUAUAAACAGUUUAAAAUCCCUACAUAAUAUUUUUAGGUCUCUAUAUAUGACAGGGUGCCUGGGUGGCUCAGUGGGUUAAAGUCUCUGCCUUCAGCUCAGGUCAUGAUCCCAGGGUCCUGGGAUCAAGCCCCACAUCGGGCUCUCUGCUCAGCAGGGAGCCUGCUUCCCUUCCUCUUUCUCUGCCUGCCUCUCUGCCUACUUGUGAUCUCUAUCAGAUAAAUAAAUAAAAUCUUUUAAAAAAUAAUUAGAAGGGCCACAAAGCAAAAGGAUGGUAGAGCUUAUCUCCAGGGAAGGAAAGAAGAGAAUGGGAAUGACCUCAGAUUUAUCUGUAAUGUUUGUUCUUUCUUGAGAGAACAAUGUUUUUAGAAGAAUCCAAAGCAAAUGCCUGGGAAGAGCAACAUUUGCAUGUCUGACUAGUAGGGACAGGGUGAUUAGGCAGACCUAGCUGUAUUGUGUGCUUCAUGGAUACUGUGUUUCUUACAAACUGAGGGUUCAAGGCUUCCAGGGAGGAAGUCGUUGCAGUUGGGGAGCAAAGAACAGUAGAGCUGGAAUCAGGAGUGGAGCCUGAAGACGGGACCGAUGGGCAGCAAUCCAUGGUGAAACCUGAACGGAGACACAAGAGUGGUUUCUUGAGAUGGGACGUUCUCCUGGUGACCAUGCCAUGAAGAUAGCUGACACGACAGUGAAGGAUUUAGAACAUUCCAGAAACUGAGUUGAUAGGGUCAGUCAGAUGACUGACCCCAAUUCUGGACGAAGUUCUCCCAUGGGUCCAAUGGUAUCAACAGCACAGCACGCUAGAGAGAAAUCUUUCAAGAAAGAUCCAGUGAUGCCAGAAACCUCAUUGUUGUUAUAUUAAGAAAUCGCCAUAGCCCCUUACCCCCUACCUUCAGCGCCUACCACCCUGGCCAGUUGGCAGCCACCAACCUGGAGGUGAGGCCCUCCAGCAACAAAAAGAUUGCCACUCCCCAAAAACUCAG